UUCUCUUGGACUGCAUGUCAUGCUGCUUCCUUCUUGUUUGUCUAAAUUAUAAAGCCUUGACCCAAAAUGCAAAUUCAGAGGUUUUGUUUAUUAAAACCAUCAGACACUAAUGCAGUCUACUAAUAGUAACUGAAGUAAAAGCAUAUUGAUGGUAGGGAUUUUCACACAGCGACAGGUAAGUACUGCUAUGCCUAAAUAACUAUUAUUUUUUCUCAUAAAUUGUAUAUUCACAUUAAAGUGAAAAUUAACUUGCUGGAGAAGUCUAGUACAAUGUUGUGAUUUUCUGCAAACCAUCCUUCCAUGAAUAAAAACUGCAUGGAAGAUCUUGUGUAAUGUUAUGAAAUAUGUCACCACACAUAGCUUUAUGAAAAAAAGUUAUAAUUUAAAAUAUAGUUGCAGGGAUUAAACAUUUGCAUUCUGUCUAAACCAAGUUUCUUUAGCAGUUUGUUCCAUGGGAAGAGAGGAAGACCAGUGCUUCCAGGGUGAAGGGGACCCCCUUUCACUGGCAUAUACAAAUCAGGACAGAAGAAGCCAUCCCUCUUGUUUAUUCUGAAAAGACAAAGCAGAAAGAAAAUAUUAGGAAGAGAAAAACAGAUACAUACUUAACCACAUUUGCGCAUCAGUUUCUUUUAUGUAAAAGGAGCACUUUGAUAAGGUUACACUCACUGUACAGGAAACUAAAUUGACACUCUGCUCACACGCUGUGUGUCUCCAUAUGAGUCGUGCUCAUGCAAAACUCCCUAGCAAGGAAAUGCCUAGGAGUCAAACAUCAUUUAGUUGAGCCUUAUAAAUAGAGCUCAAAUUCAAAGACCAGCACACACUGCCAGUGGCCAGAGUUUUGUCUCGUCUUCAUCCAGAGGAGGAUUAAUCUUGGUGAUGGUGCAAACAAAAUGUGGCGAGGUCUGCUCAGAGAACAACCUGAAGUUCCCAGAGUGAAAUCAGAAUGGUCGGUUCGGCUGUGAUUGGCGAAUCAAGCCUGGUAAACAACUGUGGAACUUCAAAAACAAUGGCUGCCCAGUUCAUGCUCCAAACUGAUUGAAUAUGAAUAGUUGUGUGAUCUUAAUGGGUAGCUUCGGUGAGAAUCACUGCAAUAAAGAUUAACUGUUUAUCAUUCAUUAUUAGCUUGUUAUUAACAUUAAUACUGUAAAACAUAUUAAACCUUUUCUCUGAGGAAAGUCUAGGGAGAACAUAAAUGGGACCAUGGAUUUUAUCAGACCUUUCUUUAUACUUGCUAUUAUGAUGUUUGGGGACAUCGGAUUUGAAUUGUAGUGUGAAAAAAUCUAUGAAAUAAAGUUAUAUUGCAAUUAC
ensembl:lncRNA